UAAUCCGGAUGAGCCCGAAAGGGGAAAGAUUUCUCGGCCAAUAGAUCAGCCCGCGUMCGAUUAGCUAGUUGGUGGAUUAAAGCCUACCAAGGCGACGAUCGGUAGCUGUUCUGAGAGGAAGAUCAGCCACACUGGGACUGAGACACGGCCCAGACUCCUACGGGAGGCAGCAGUUGAAUCUUGGACAAUGGAACCCUGACCCAGCCAUGCCGCGUGAGUGAUGAAGGCCUUCGGGUUGUACUCUCGACGACGAUAAUGACGUACCCGUAGAAGAAGCUCCGCUAAUUCGUGCCAGCAGCCGCGUAUACAAGGCUAGCGUUGUUCGGAAUUACUGGGCGUAAAGCGCGCGCAGGCGUCUUCCAAGUCAGUGGUGAAAGCCCGGAGCUCAACUCCGGAACUGCCAUUGAAACUGUGAGACUUGAGUACGAGAGAGGUGAGUGAAUUCCCAGCGUAGAGGUGAAAUUCGUACAUAUUGGAAAGACACCGGUGGCGAAGGCG
rnacentral:rRNA from 1 species